rnacentral:lncRNA from 1 species
CAGACACAGUCUGUUUGUAGAACCCAUACUGUUUCAGAGGCUGUUUCAGAAACAGGUUUGAAGAGGUCUUGCAAAAUUUGGAUAAGAUGAGCAAUGAAAGGGAGCACAGCAGAAUUAGAGGAGCAAGCCUUCAUCCCUGACUGCUGUGCGUGCAAUGCAGACUGCAAAUGUCUUCAAAGAAUACUUACACAAAUCCAUGAGAAAAAGGCCAAGAAUUCCAGCUUUGAAUCCUGCUGCAAUGAAUGUUUAUGAAGAAUGGAAUGCUCCCAAUAGAAAGACUCAGGACAAAUGGAGUCAAACACAAGGACUGUGGCAUUCACCCGAGAUGCUGGAACCUGGAAAGACAUUGCUUGAACCUCACUUGUCAAAUACAAAUAAAGGAAAAAAAACAGCACUCAACUGGCUGUCUGAUGAAUUGUGAAUGGUAUGUUCUCAACAGUUUG